UUAUGCUUUUCCCCAGGCUCUGACAUGAAAUGCCUGUUGCUGCUGGGAGGACUGUAAACCAAUUUUUCUUGCUGGAACAGCUGCACACCUUAAAAUAAUGGAUUUCCCCCAUUUUUGGUGACUCCAAAGUCAGGAAGAGAAUACCUUCUGAUCACCAGUUACAAACCAGUUGUGCUACAGCCGAUAUGAUGUGCAUGUUGAGGAUGUGACUCCCUAGGCAGCAGCUCUCAGCACCAACCCUUCCUAUUGGCCACUGGGGACAUUAGGAGUGGAGGUCACCUUCCUGUGUUUGAUCUGCCAGUAGCAGGUGCCCUGAUGGAGGCGAACAUGGAUCCUGCAUAUUCUUUUCUCUGUUCAGAGUGGUAGUAGAAAGUGUCUCUGAAAUGGACUGUUCCAGGAUGAUCCUCUAAAACAACUAUAUUGACACCCUAUGCUGCACUGUUUCCUUUACCACACCUUCAUUUACAUAGCAGACAAGACUUCCUGUGGAAAACACACACACACACAGAGUUUAAGGCUUAGGAAUAGUCUGUGUGCCGAGGGCAGGGAAGGGGAGACAAGCAGAGCGGGGUGAGGAGGAGAAUAUAGACAA